rnacentral:rRNA from 1 species
AUUGAACGCUGGCGGCAUGCUUUACACAUGCAAGUCGAACGGCAGCACGGGGGUAACGUCCUGGUGGCGAGUGGCGAACGGGUGAGUAAUGCAUCGGAACGCGUCCUGUAAUGGGGGAGUAACCUACCGAAAGGUAGGCUAAUACCGCAUACGCCCUGAGGGGGAAAGGCGGGGAGUCGAAAGACCUCGUGUUAUAGGAGUGGCCGAUGUCGGAUUAGCUAGUUGGUGAGGUAAAGGCUCACCAAGGCGACGAUCUGUAGCGGGUCGUGAGAGGAUGAUCCGCCACACUGGAACUGAGACACGGUCCAGACUCCUACGGGAGGCAGCAGUGGGGAAUUUUGGACAAUGGGCGCAAGCCUGAUCCAGCCAUGCCGCGUGAGUGAAGAAGGCC